UACAGAGGGGGCAAGCGUUGUUCGGAAUUACUGGGCGUAAAGGGCGCGUAGGCGGCCUGCUAAGUCGAACGUGAAAUCCCUGGGCUCAACCCAGGAACUGCGUCCGAUACUGGUUGGCUUGAAUCCGGGAGAGGGAUGCGGAAUUCCAGGUGUAGCGGUGAAAUGCGUAGAUAUCAGGAAGAACACCCGUGGCUAAGGCGGUUCUCUAGUACGGUACUGACGCUGAGACGCGAAAGCGUGGGGAGCGAACAGG
rnacentral:rRNA from 1 species